rnacentral:rRNA from 1 species
AGUGAACGCUGGCGGUAGGCCUAACACAUGCAAGUCGAACGGCAGCACAGUAAGAGCUUGCUCUUACGGGUGGCGAGUGGCGGACGGGUGAGGAAUACGUCGGAAUCUACUUUUUCGUGGGGGAUAACGUAGGGAAACUUACGCUAAUACCGCAUACGACCUACGGGUGAAAGCAGGGGAUCUUCGGACCUUGCGCGAUUGAAUGAGCCGAUGUCGGAUUAGCUAGUUGGCGGGGUAAAGGCCCACCAAGGCGACGAUCCGUAGCUGGUCUGAGAGGAUGAUCAGCCACACUGGAACUGAGACACGGUCCAGACUCCUACGGGAGGCAGCAGUGGGGAAUAUUGGACAAUGGGCGCAAGCCUGAUCCAGCCAUACCGCGUGGGUGAAGAAGGCCUUCGGGUUGUAAAGCCCUUUUGUUGGGAAAGAGAAGCAGCAGGUUAAUACCCCGCUGUUCUGACGGUACCCAAAGAAUAAGCACCGGCUAACUUCGUG